rnacentral:misc_RNA from 1 species
GAAAUGCGAUAACUAAUGUGAAUUGCAGAAUUCAGUGAAUCAUCGAAUCUUUGAACGCACAUUGCGCCCCCUGGUAUUCCGGGGGGCAUGCCUGUUCGAGCGUCAUUUCACCACUCAAGCCUCGCUUGGUAUUGGGCGACGCGGUCCGCCGCGCGCCUCAAAUCGACCGGCUGGGUCUUUCGUCCCCUCAGCGUUGUGGAAACUAUUCGCUAAAGGGUGCCGCGGGAGGCCACGCCGUAAAACAACCCCAUUUCUAAGGUUGACCUCGGAUCAGGUAGGGAUACCCGCUGAACUUAAGC